AUUGAACGCUGGCGGCAGGCCUAACACCUGCAAGGCGGACGAGUGGCGGACGGGUUAGUAAUGUCUGUGAAACUUCCUGAUGGUGGGGGAUAACUACUGGAAACGGUAGCUAAUACCGCCUACCAUCGGAUGUGCCCCGAUGGGAUUAGCUAGUAGGUGGGGUAAAGGCUCACCUAGGCGACGAUCCCUAGCGGGGCUGAGAGGAUGACCAGCCACACUGGAACUGAGACACGGGCCAGACUCCUACGUGAGGCAGCAGUGGGGAAUAUUGGACAAUGGGCGCAAGCCUGAUGCAGCCACGCCGCGUGUAUGAAGAAGGCCUUCGGGUGGUAAAGUACUUUCAGCGGGGAGGCGUUACCCGCAGAAGAAGCACCGGCUAACUCCGUGCCAGCAGCCGCGGUAAUAC
rnacentral:rRNA from 1 species